rnacentral:piRNA from 1 species
UCCUUUGCUUGGUUUCCUGACCCAUUGG